AUAAUGGUGGCAGUACAUGUACUAAAGCUGGAAUGAUACAGAGAAGGCUAUUAGCAUGGCCCAUGCACAAGGAUGACAUGCAAAUUCUUGACCGUUCCCUAUAGUUA
ensembl:snRNA U6 U6 spliceosomal RNA